rnacentral:rRNA from 1 species
UACGAAGGGGGCUAGCGUUGCUCGGAAUACUGGGCGUAAAGGGUGCGUAGGCGGGUCUUUAAGUCAGGGGUGAAAUCCUGGAGCUCAACUCCAGAACUGCCUUUGAUACUGAAGAUCUUGAGUUCGGGAGAGGUGAGUGGAACUGCGAGUGUAGAGGUGAAAUUCGUAGAUAUUCGCAAGAACACCAGUGGCGAAGGCGGCUCACUGGCCCGAUACUGACGCUGAGGCACGAAAGCGUGGGGAGCAAACAGG